GAAGAUGCAGCCUGAGGAAGAACUCAGGUAAGAGGGCGGGGCUAAUUAAUCAACAGGUGUGGAGAGAGAAACCAGGCUGAUGAGGAGCCAUGAAGACAGGAGGGAGGACUCUGGAGAAGUGCUGGACCGUGACAGGACAAGGUUCUCCUUAAAGGUGCUGGAGGCUGUGGAGGUCAGCAGUGAGCCGCUCCAGGUAUAUUUUCCCGAGACACGGGGGUCAGAGGUGUAAGUCGAGAGCUUCCCUGUGACGGGUCGGUACGACAGUUACGACUCUCCUGUGAGAUGGACGUGAUGUUCAGCUCUCAGUGAACUCAGCCAAAUGAUGAUCCAUCACAUGGAGAGGAAGAGUCGGUGCUGAUCUCACAGUGAUCAUCGGGCUGAUCGUUUGUUAAGCGAUAUUAAAUGUUUUUCUCUUUACAGAGUCAACGUUCAGUGUUCCUGAACAGAACUGAAGCAUUAUGGGUCCAGUGUAACGGCUGCGGCGCUCUGUCACCCUCUGGUGCCUGUAAACAUGGAUGACUCCAUCUUCCACUCGCCACAGCUGAGUGAUCUGAACUGCACAGCAUCGACUGCAGGAACAUGUUUCCUGCUGUGAUGAUGAUCACACACACCCGGAUCAUUGAUGAUGACGCUGGACGUUUAAAUAAGGAACAUAACGUCCGAUGCAGCUGAAGGUGGAAACGAAAUCACGAUGAGGAGCCUCGAACACGCUGUGUUCAAAACAUUAUGACUUCCUGUCGUCGGCACUUUAGUUUGAGCUGUUUAUCUGGAUGUUUCUGGUUCCAACGUAUAAAAGUAC